CCAUCUGGCUGUAGAGUACUCUAA
rnacentral:piRNA from 1 species